rnacentral:lncRNA from 13 species
UUUUGUUCUUUCAUCUCAAAGUCACUGGUAUAUUUUACAUAAUAUACUUUUCAAUUUUCUAAAUUGAGAUAUUAGCAGAGCUGUGUUCCUUCUGCAAGUUCUAAGGGGCAACCUGUGCCAUUGCCUUUUACAGCAGGUAGAGGUUACCUGCAUUUCUUGGCUCUCUUGUUUGCUUCCUCCAUCUUCAAACUGUCCUCUUCAAACCUCUCUCUCUCUGAUCUUUGCUUUCAUUGUCACAUUAUCUUAUGUGCCUCUAACAAUCUUGCCUCCUAAUUAUAAAGACGUUUAUCAUUACAUUGGGCCUACCUUGAUAAUUUAGAGCGAUCUACCAUCUCAAGAUUCUUAACUUAAUCACACCCUCAAAGCCCUAUUUACUACAUAAGGUGAUAUAUUCAAGGGAUCUAAACAUUAGAAUGAAAAUAUCCUUUUGGGGAGGAGGAAGGAUAAUUAUUCAGUCUACUGUUGCAGAAUGUUCAGGAGACCUGAAAGACCAAUGGGUGAAGCAGGAGGAUUUUAUUAAGGUGGCCACAAGCUCAGUGGAUUAGCAUCCCAAGGCUGAGCAAAGGAGAAAGAAAAUGGGUACUUUUUAUACAUCAAGGAUGAUGUAGCAGCUAACAGGUUUACAGAAGCCAGAACAAAGAAUGGUUAAUUUGAAACAUGUUUUGUGAUGUACAUUACAUUUGAAAAAUAGCAUUUUGAGAAACAUUCUUUGGGUGUUUUCUUGCCCUGUGACCUUGCAGCUCGUUAGCAAAAAAACACAGGAGUCUUGAGAUGCCUGGGAACUUUGCUGAGAAUGUGGGGAGAAGAGAUAAGUUGUCUCUCCCAAUAUGAACUGCAGAAAAAUGAGGUUUCCAGACAAGAUCACAUUUCUGCUUGCUCCAUGCUACGAUGGAAUCAAUCAAAGCAAAUAAUGCUGGGAAGGCUGAGAGAUAGCAAAGGAAUAUUGGUAAAUAUGGUCUUAUUCCAACAAACCAAAUAACCUAAGAGAACGAUUUGUGGAUCUGACAGGAGAUACUGCAAUUGAAUAUUAUUUUGCUGCAGCAGAAUUGUUGCUACUGCUGUCAGCACACAGCAGGUGGUUGGAAGUUGGCAACUUUUAUGAAAGCCAUUUAUAUUACAGUACAUUUUAUGUAAACAGUGGCAAUAUAAAGCUAAACUGUUCCAGGAAUGAGAUGCAAAUACUAGAAAUGGGUUUUCUUCAAUAAGAAUUUAGGCAAUUGUGCUUGAAUUAAAAUGAAGAAUAACUUUAAGACACCAUCGACAUUUUCUACACGUUUUGGCUUUAAGUACUACUCGCAAAGUCUUCACCACAUUUACACUGCUGGGAUUUCUGUUGACUUUGGUGAAUGUGCUAUUUUGGAGGCUGAAUAAGUCACAGAUUAAAUUCUUAACUGAUUAAUUAUGACAAAAUGUUUGCAAAUAUAUACUUUUUAAAAACCAGAGGGAACCAAUUUCUUCUUAGAAUAAUGCUACUCUCAUGUGCUUUCUCAUAAAUUUUCGUAAGGGAAAAUAUGAGCUAGAAUAUGCAUUAACACAACAGAAUUGCCUAUGGCCAUAAGAGAAUAUUGCACAUUUACUUAUGAUCACCUAUUUCAUCACAACAGAAAAAAAGACUGAACUUAUAUUCUCUGGAAAAGAAAUACUCAAAAUUUCUAAAACACAGUUGUUCACAUGGAAUGGUGUAUUCCACUAGCCCAAAAAUUUCUUUAGAAGGGAUUAUUCCAACAUCAUGUUGUGGUCUUUAAUUAAAUGAAAUCACAGUAAAAAGCACUUAAGGAGAGAAGGCUCAUCUGGGAUAAAGCAAAUAAAACAAAGAAAUGACUAUAAAAUGUGAAGGAG